GCCAGAAUAGCUCAGUUGGUAGAGCUCCCGUUUUGUAAACGGGUGGUCGUCGGUUCGAGCCCGACUUCUGGCU
rnacentral:tRNA from 1 species